GACGUAGGGCGCGAGCGUUGUCCGGAUUUAUUGGGCGUAAAGAGCUCGUAGGCGGCUUGUCGCGUCGGCUGUGAAAACCCGCGGCUCAACUGUGGGCGGGCAGCUGAUACGGGCAGGCUGGAGUUCGGUAGGGGAGACUGGAAUUCCUGGUGUAGCGGUGAAAUGCGCAGAUAUCAGGAGGAACACCGGUGGCGAAGGCGGGUCUCUGGGCUGAUACUGACGCUGAGGAGCGAAAGCGUGGGGAGCGAACAGG
rnacentral:rRNA from 1 species